rnacentral:rRNA from 1 species
AGUGAACGCUGGCGGUAGGCCUAACACAUGCAAGUCGAACGGCAGCGCAGUAAGAGCUUGCUCUUACGGGUGGCGAGUGGCGGACGGGUGAGGAAUACAUCGGAAUCUACUUUUUCGUGGGGGAUAACGUAGGGAAACUUACGCUAAUACCGCAUACGACCUACGGGUGAAAGCAGGGGAUCUUCGGACCUUGCGCGAUUGAAUGAGCCGAUGUCGGAUUAGCUAGUUGGCGGGGUAAAGGCCCACCAAGGCGACGAUCCGUAGCUGGUCUGAGAGGAUGAUCAGCCACACUGGAACUGAGACACGGUCCAGACUCCUACGGGAGGCAGCAGUGGGGAAUAUUGGACAAUGGGCGCAAGCCUGAUCCAGCCAUACCGCGUGGGUGAAGAAGGCCUUCGGGUUGUAAAGCCCUUUUGUUGGGAAAGAAAAGCAGCAGGUUAAUACCCCGCUGUUCUGACGGUACCCAAAGAAUAAGCACCGGCUAACGUCGUG